rnacentral:SRP_RNA from 1 species
GCUGGGCAUGGUGGCUCACGCCUGUAAUCCUAGCACUUUGGGAAGCUGAGGCGGGUGGAUCAUCUGAGGUCAGGAGUUCAAGACCAGCCUGGCCAACAUGGCGAGACCCCGCCUCUA